rnacentral:tRNA from 1 species
UUGGUAGCUUAGUUGGUAAAGCACUUGUCUAGCGAAUAAGGGUCGUGAGUUCAAAUCUCAUCUGA